rnacentral:rRNA from 1 species
UGGGGAAUAUUGCGCAAUGGGCGAAAGCCUGACGCAGCGACGCCGCGUGAGGGAUGAAGGCCUUCGGGUUGUAAACCUCUUUCAGCAGGGAAGAAGCGAAAGUGACGGUACCUGCAGAAGAAGCACCGGCUAACUACGUGCCAGCAGCCGCGGUAAUACGUAGGGUGCAAGCGUUGUCCGGAAUUAUUGGGCGUAAAGAGCUCGUAGGCGGUUUGUCGCGUCUGCUGUGAAAAUCCAGGGCUUAACCCUGGACCUGCAGUGGGUACGGGCAGACUAGAGUGCGGUAGGGGAGAUCGGAAUUCCUGGUGUAGCGGUGAAAUGCGCAGAUAUCAGGAGGAACACCGGUGGCGAAGGCGGAUCUCUGGGCCGUAACUGACGCUGAGGAGCGAAAGCAUGGGGAGCGAACA